GGCGAGUUCUUUCUGUCUGGAGCUUCCCGAAUCACCUCCGAUCUGUCACUUUGGUGAGCGAUCGGCGUGGAGUAAAUUUCGCAGAAGCGCAAGACCUGGAGUAAGAGGGGUGAUCACUGGAACAGUUUACACGGCAAUCAGGCCCUCUACACUCUUUAGUAUCAUGGCCCUGCUGGCCACAACGAGCGCAGCAUGGCGACCCACGGCAGGCAUCAGCAGCAUGUCCGAAGCGGUUGCACUUGAAACAACGAAGAGGGUUUGGAAUGUAUGGACGAACCUCUACAGAGAGAUAUCCAACUUUCAGCUUGUCGGGCAGCAAAGGACGAUCGAAGAUUUGCAAGAAUCUCUUCUACUGGGACGUCAAUUAAUUCGGCAACGGCUACCACACCACGGCAUGUGUUCAGAGUCUUAUGUAAGGAUGCGGAUGUGGGGAGCCCAAGCAUCUCUGUGGUGGUCAAGAUCUGUUGGCAGUCUUUUUCCGAUGUACACUUGAUAAGGAGGUCACCUGAUCGUAACUUCUUAAUUUCGGUGAUGUGGUUAGAGAGGGAGGACACCGCCUUCUCAAUAAAGAAGGGCGACAUCUUCCCAAGUGGUACACGUUUGUCGUCUUCCAAAGAACUAGAAGACAACACUAUGUAUUUGGACAAGAAAAAGUGUGAUGAUGAGGGGUGGGGAGAGUGCAGCACCUCCUUUUUGGGCAUUUGGGUAGUCCCAUUAACUUCUCACCGCAGAAAACGUGCGAGCGUGCCGUAGCCUUCUUUGGGAUGUUCCCUCGAACGCCGUAAACGCCGGGAUAAUUAUUUGACGAAAAUGUAAAAAUGCAUUGACAGAAUGGCGUAAAUGCAGGCUAGCUGGUGGAUAAAUUCCAUGGUAGGCAAGCCUGAGCCAUGGGCAAGACACGUAAACAAACACAAACACGUGUUUCGUGUUUGUGUUUGUUUACGUGUCUUGCCCAUCGCUCAGGCUUGCCUAUCAUGGAAUGUAAAAAUGCCAUAUGCCACGCAAUGUUGUCCCGUAAGAGUAAUAACUUCACCAACAGACAGCCUUAUGGGAAGAUUAAUAUACGUAGUUUGUGGACCGCGUGUCAACCGCUAGGGGGAUAUGAGUGGAAGAGGACGAAGAAAGGGAAAAGGAGCGCGGCGGAUAUUGGACGGUCACACGUGAGACGACGGCGAGAAGGUCGGUCAGUCAGUCAGCCAGUCGUGGAACGACGACGAGCAAAUUGGAACAGAGAAAGAAGUCACUUUAAGUUCGGCCAUUGGAUUUCUCUGAAGAUUGUCCAGUGGGACUUUGCGAGUUGGUUUUGGUAAGUACUUUUACGUUCUAGUGACUGAGAUUAAAUGUUUCAUUUUCUACCA